rnacentral:rRNA from 1 species
GAGUUGUAAUUUGCAGAGGAUGCUUUUGGCGCGGUGCCUUCCGAGUUCCCUGGAACGGGACGCCAUAGAGGGUGAGAGCCCCGUCUGGUCGGACACCAAGCCAGUGUAAAGCUCCUUCGACGAGUCGAGUAGUUUGGGAAUGCUGCUCUAAAUGGGAGGUAUAUGUCUUCUAAAGCUAAAUACCGGCCAGAGACCGAUAGCGCACAAGUAGAGUGAUCGAAAGAUGAAAAGCACUUUGAAAAGAGGGUUAAACAGUACGUGAAAUUGUUGAAAGGGAAGCGUUUAUGACCAGACUUGGGCCCGGUGAAUCAUCCAGCGUUCUCGCUGGUGCACUUUGCCGGGCUCAGGCCAGCAUCAGUUCGCCGCGGGGGAUAAAGGCUUCGGGAACGUGGCUCCCUCGGGAGUGUUAUAGCCCGUUGCGUAAUACCCUGUGGCGGACUGAGGUUCGCGCUCCGCAAGGAUGCUGGCGUAAUGGUCAUCAGCGACCCGUC